rnacentral:rRNA from 1 species
UACGGAGGGGGCUAGCGUUGUUCGGAAUUAUUGGGCGUAAAGCGCUUGUAGGCGGCACGUCAAGUCGCGUGUGAAAUCCCCAGGCUUAACCUGGGAAGUGCGCGCGAAACUGACGAGCUUGAGUGCCGGAGAGGGUCGCGGAAUUCCCGGUGUAGAGGUGAAAUUCGUAGAUAUCGGGAGGAACACCAGUGGCGAAGGCGGCGACCUGGACGGACACUGACGCUGAGACGCGAAAGCGUGGGGAGCAAACAGG